AUUGAACGCUGGCGGCAGGCUUAACACAUGCAAGUCGAGCGGGGUGAUGGUGCUUGCACUAUCACUUAGCGGCGGACGGGUGAGUAAUGCUUAGGAAUCUGCCUAUUAGUGGGGGACAACAUCUCGAAAGGGAUGCUAAUACCGCAUACGUCCUACGGGAGAAAGCAGGGGAUCACUUGUAACCCUGCGCUAAUAGAUGAGCCUAAGUCGGAUUAGCUAGUUGGUGGGGUAAAGGCCUACCAAGGCGACGAUCUGUAGCGGGUCUGAGAGGAUGAUCCGCCACACUGGGACUGAGACACGGCCCAGACUCCUACGGGAGGCAGCAGUGGGGAAUAUUGGACAAUGGGGGGAACCCUGUUCCAGCCAUGCCGCGUGUGUGAAGAAGGCCUUAUGGUUGUAAAGCACUUUAAGCGAGGAGGAGGCUCUUUUGGUUAAUACCCAAGAUGAGUGGACGUUACUCGCAGAAUAAGCACCGGCUAACUCUGUGCCAGCCGCCGCCGUAA
rnacentral:rRNA from 1 species